GCAUCCGUAUGGUCUUCGCUCUGAGGCUCCCUGGUGUGGUUCUAGAACUUUGGGUUGCAGUCUUUUCCUGCACUUAAGAGCCAUAUGUUUUAUCUUGAGUGUGUGGCUGCACCAGUCACACCAGGUUUAUUAAUAAAUGCAGUGUUAUUCAUUAUCUAAUACAAUUUGCAACCUGCAGGUGAAACCUCUCUGUCCACACAGUGGAGGUGUGACCAGACCGCUGCUCAGCACCGACAUUUGGAGUCUUCUUUUUUUUUUUUUUUAUUUCAUACCUUCAAUCUUGUUUUGUUUGCACUGGGUAAGACAAUGCAAAAGCCCGGUGACCCUUUUGACCCUACUCUCUCCCACCACCCAUCAUUGAAUGUACAGGAAAAUGUGUUUGAUUUUCUUCUUCUCUGAAAAGUGAUACUUCCUUAUGGGAAUUCAGAGUGCUUGGAGUUAAGAGAAGAGCCGGGUUAUGUGUUGUUACAAGUAAGCAGUGGGAGGCUGAAGCCCCGCGGUCAUGGCUCCCUCGUGCUGAGCGUGGGUCUGCUUAAGGUCAUUUGCUGCUUCUUUCCCAUAAACCUUUUGUUGUAUCUCUUUCAAUAUUCCCCGGUAAAGAUAUUUGCUAAGAUGAAGAGUGGGCUGAGCAGCUGAAGGUCGAGAUCUCUUUCCCCUUAGGGACCGUCCAUAUGAUCUCUGACUAUAUUUAGGCCAUGGAAGUUUAAAACCUUGGGUUUUUGUCUAGCUGGGGAAGGGAAAAUAAAUUUCUUGUUGUGUUAAUUCUUUUUGCAUUAAGUGGUGAGUUAGUUCCCCAGGUUUGACCUCAUCUAUCAGGGGGAGAAACAUUAUCAAGCCAUUAUUGGAUACCAUACACUGGCAUCAUAAGUUGGCUCUUCUGUGUCUCUAGAGUGCUUCUUGUAGGUCCAAAGCCAUGAGGCAGAACACGGCAUUGUAUCUGACAUCCUGCUGAGCAACAUUAGUAUGUAGUGCCUCUUGCUAGAUUCCUAUAAUUCAGUAAGGGAAUUCAGGAAAGAGAUUAUUUAUAGAUGACAGAUAUUUUUGUUUGGGGUGUAUAUAUAUAUAUAUAUAUAUAUAUAUAUAUAUAUAGAGAGAGAGAGAGAGAGAGAGAGAGAGAGAACACCAAAGAGCCUAGACUCAUAGAUUACUAAUAGCUGCCUGCCCGGUCAUUAUUCAUGAUCUACUUUGUCAAGCUAUUUUAAAGUACCAAUCUCACCCUGCUAUCCCAACUGGUGGAGAUCUGGACUCUGAAACAGCCUGAUAAUUUUAGCCCUGCAUUUGACUGCUGGUCGAUCUCCAUUAAAAAGGCAGAGACCCCCACUCCAUCAGGAUUUCCUCUUCACUUACUUUCCUCUAUGGAAUGUCCAAGAGGUUGGGAAAUCAUAAAUAUUGAUCUUGAGUCGAGCACAUGAAUAUUUCUGAAGUUAUUGCAGCUCUCCGCACAGUUCUUUCUUCAUGUGUUUCAAACCCAGUUCACAGUGGAGACGGUGAGCUCUGUCUUUUGGGAGUCCGCCUGAGACAUCACCAACUGCUUACCUGGUCCUGGGGACUCUGGGCUCCAUGGAAGUGAAGAGCUUUGGUUCUGGUGCUCACAGAAGCUUCUCCUAGCUUUGAAGCUCACCGAAGCUUGGGCUUGGGAUGGAUGCUAAGGUCCUUGCACCCGCACUGUGCGGAGAAGUGGGUACAUGGUGCUUGGAGUCAGCAGUACAUCUCUGAAAACCUUCUGGGUUAGAGGGUGGCAGUGACACAGCCACGUUGUUUUGCUCUGAACUCCCCCCAAACUGUGUCUUUUAGAGUGUGGGUUGCUAUUCAGGCUGUUGGCAUGGCAAUGCUGGUCUAAUGAGGGGGUGGCAAGGUCAGAGUUCAGAAAGGCUGCUUCAAAUCAAGACCAUAGAAAGAGAAAGGACCCUGCAGCCCUCUUCCCCCUCUGGAAAAUCCCCAAGGUCCUGCAGGAACGAGAAAUUCCAUCUCCUUGUACCCAGGUAAGCAUUGUGGCCUCUCCAUUGGGGACCUCUCCUCUGUUUUUAGUCUCUAGGCUGAGGUCUAACUCCAGGCCACUACUUGAGAAGUUUUGGAGACAAGCUUGGGAGGGCUAGCUCUGUGCAAGCACACCCUGUGUGAGACAGUGUAAUUAAAGAGGCCCAGGCCUUUAGGGAUUCCAAAGCAAUGCUUUUACCUUUACACGGGAAGGCAUGCUUUUUUUGUGUUGGU
rnacentral:lncRNA from 1 species